rnacentral:lncRNA from 1 species
UAGAGUGAAAUAUUUAAAGCAUUGAAAGCAAAAAGUCACCAACCUAGAUUUCUGUAUCAAGAGAAAUUAUCUUUAAGAAUUGAAGAAGAAAUACAUUCUCAGACAAACAAAAUUUGAGGAAUUUUGUCACCAGUAAGCCUGCCUUACAAGAAAUAAAGAAAUUCUUUAGAAAGAAGGAAAAUAUUUGAUAUAAAUCAGAAACUAAGAGCUACAUAAAGGAAGAGCACUGAAGAAGGAAUAAAAGAACUUAAAAUAAAAUCUUUGAUUUUUCUUAUUCUUAAUUGAACUAACAGAUAACAGUUUCUCAAAUAAUAAUAAUAACAAAGUAGUUGUUGAUGACAGCUUAGAAUGUUAUAGCUUUUAUGAGUAAAUGACAGCAAUGUUAUCAAGUACAUGAGGGAGGAAUUGAGAAUACUUAGUUAAAAGACAUUUGAACUAAAUGACAGAAAUGUUAUCAAGUACAUGAAGGAGGAAUUGAGAAUACUUAGUUAAAAUACAUUUGAACUACCUGUGAUGAGGAAUAGUGUUACUUAAGAGAAGAUCUGAAAAGGUUGUAAACAUAUACUGCAAACUCAAGACCAAACUACUAAAUAUUUUUAAAGAAUAAUAAUGAUAUCCUAAGAAUGUAGUGCUAAUUGAAAUAAGACAAAAAAGACAAAACAAGUAUCAUGAGUCCUCUUAUGUAAGGUACACAAAAAGUAUAAUAAAGGUUCCCAGGGACAAUGAAGAGGAGGAAAUGGGAAGUUACUGUUUAAUGUGUACCAAGAUUCUAUUGGAGAUGAUUAUAGAAGUUCUGCAGAUAGUUGUACAACACUAUGAAUAUACUUAAUGCCAUUGAAUUAUACACAUAAAAAUUAAAUAGUAAACUUUAUGUAUAUUUUUAUUAAAACAGUUUGUUUUAAUUGAAUGGUUGCUAAAGGGUUUUAAAUAUGCAUCUUUAAUUAGUUGGAGUCUACUUAUAAAUAAUAUUUUACCACUUCUUGUGUAUAUAAAGAUCUUACAAUGUUAUGCUCCCAAAUCCUCCCUCCCAUUUUUCAUGCUACUGUAGUUACAUAUUAUAAACACAAAUAUUUUCUAUUUUUGCUUCAAAGUUAGCUUUAAAAAAAUAAACCUCAUAUAUACAUACAUUCAUGCUCUUUUCCAUCAUUUUCAUAUUUCUUUGAAUAUAUUCAAAUUUCUGUCUUAUCAAAUUCCCCUGUCAUAAGAACUUCCUUAACAGUUUCUGUAGUCUAGGUCUGCUGGUAAUGAAUUUUCUUACUGUACGUUUUCCGGGGGAUAAGUUUUUAUUUUUUCUUCACAUUUGGAUGGAAUUUUUUUCUGGGCUGACAAGUUUUUUCUUUCAAUACUUCUACUCCACUGUGUUCUAAGUUACAUAGUUUCUAUAAAGAAUGGCACUGUGGG